UGCAUAUCCCAAAAAGCGGAGGAAAAGAAACCAACCGGGAUUGCCUUAGUAACGGCGAGUGAAGCGGCAAAAGCUCAAAUUUGAAAUCUGGCGUCUUCGACGUCCGAGUUGUAAUUUGAAGAAGGCGACUUUGUAGCUGGUCCUUGUCUAUGUUCCUUGGAACAGGACGUCAUAGAGGGUGAGAAUCCCGUGUGGCGAGGAUCCCAGUUAUUUGUAAAGUGCUUUCGACGAGUCGAGUUGUUUGGGAAUGCAGCUCUAAGUGGGUGGUAAAUUCCAUCUAAAGCUAAAUAUUGGCGAGAGACCGAUAGCGAACAAGUACAGUGAUGGAAAGAUGAAAAGAACUUUGAAAAGAGAGUGAAAAAGUACGUGAAAUUGUUGAAAGGGAAGGGCAUUUGAUCAGACAUGGCGUUUGCUUCGGCUUUCGCUGGGCCAGCAUCAGUUUUAGCGGUUGGAUAAAUCCUCGGGAAUGUGGCUCUGCUUCGGUAGAGUGUUAUAGCCCGUGGGAAUACAGCCAGCUGGGACUGAGGAUUGCGACUUUUGUCAAGGAUGCUGGCGUAAUGGUUAAAUGCCGCCCGUCUUGAACCACGGGACC
rnacentral:rRNA from 1 species